AAAAAAAAAAGUGGAUUUGGCUCUUCAGUUUCCUGCAAAAGAUUGGAUUACAGGCAGAGGCACAUACACCCUGAUUUCUUAACUUUCAACAAGAGAUAAGCCUGCUAUCUUUUAUGGUACAGAAACUCAUAAAAAUUAGCCAACAAUACUAAUCUACAUAGAAAAGAUAAUGCAAAGACUAAAAUAAUACCAAAAAAAUGAUCCCAUAUAUGGGAUAUAUUGACUAUUUGAUUUUGAGGAAGAACAUUGCAAAUGAUAUUCAAAACACAAAUGGGAUCACUCCAAUAAAU
rnacentral:misc_RNA from 1 species